ACCCAAGAGCACAUUGUGCUACGAAGGCACUUUUUAGUGGUUAUAGACCUAUUUCUCCUUGAAAAAGUGAAACUAGAGAUGGGUAUCUAAGUAAUUUGACUUCUUGGCUGGUUACUUUGUUUCGGCAUUCGAAUUUUGAAAAAAUAAGUGAUUUGGUUGUGGGCCCAAGACGAAAUUAAUUUUUGCUUCAUAAUAAACAUUGGGUCCGUAAAAGGCAAAAAAAAAAAUUUUUGGUUUACUUUCACCCACAAACAAAAAUUACGGUUACGAUUGUUCGAUAAACUUAGAAGGUGUUUUCUGACGUCGGAGAAAUUGGAGACAGAGAAAAGGUUUAAUGACGAGGAGGAGGAGGGUAGCAGAAAGAGAAAACGGAAGAGGAGAACCGAGGAAGUGGUUUGUCUUUUGAUGAUGGAAAAAUUAAUGGAGUGAGACUAAUUGCAGAGGCACCGGAGCUGGAGAUGACGGACGACCGGUUGAUUGAUUGAGAAGCAGUUCGCGACGGACCGGUACCCAAGCAAGCGCAUGUAUGUGUAUUCAACUUUUGAUAACUUGAUUUGGUCCGUGUUGUGUUUUCAAUAGGAUUUGUCCUAUGUCUGGUUUUAAUUAUCUUGCGGCUCAGCUAUUACCAGGAAACAGGUGACCUCGUGAACUUCUGACUUCUAUAUAUGUCCUCUUAGUGAGUUUGUUUGCAUUUUGUUAUUGGGCAUUCUUGUUAAUAGUCGUGAAAGCUGCUAGAAAUGUGCCAGUUCACAAACAAUAAAGUUAGGUAUCUGCAUCAGAAAGUUUAUACAUUGAGCUUUCGAAUUUGUAAAACUUCUCUGGUUUUAACGGUUUCUAGAUUCUGUAGAAGAUCUUCUUUAACUGGUUACUGGUUACGCAUGUAUCCAAGAGGAAGUCCAGCAACAUUUUCAUUCUUAUGGGACAGUUAAUAGGUGUACACAUGGAUAGUUUGUAGGUGUACACAUGGACAGUUUGUAGUGUAUACAUGGACAGUUUGUAGUGUACACAUGGACAGUUUGUAUGAUUAUUUUGUUGUAAUGUAAUGUAAUGUGCAUAGAAUUUGCUAUGGAAUUUAUGGGAUUUGAAACUAU